UACGAAGGGAGCUAGCGUUGUUCGGAAUCACUGGGCGUAAAGCGCACGUAGGCGGAUGUGUCAGUCAGGGGUGAAAUCCCGGAGCUCAACUUCGGGACUGCCUUUGAUACAGCACGUCUUGAGUCCGAUAGAGGUGGGUGGAAUUCCUAGUGUAGAGGUGAAAUUCGUAGAUAUUAGGAAGAACGCCGGUGGCGAAGGCAGCCCACUGGAUCGGUACUGACGCUGAGGUGCGAAAGCGUGGGGAGCAAACAGG
rnacentral:rRNA from 1 species